UGGCGAUGUGGAUGCAAAGAGAUGGGGAGGAGCUGCGAGUGUUGGAGGCUGGCGGCGCCAUGGCGAGUUGGGCAGGAUCUACUAGUGCGGUUGCUGCUACUGAGUUUUGCUGCUAAUCAUUGCUUUCACGCGCGAGCGAGAGUGCGAAGGAAAUGAACAUGCUCCCAGCUGCAAUUUGCUACUGCUGAUUGGUGCUCCUGCUACUCUACUUAAGUGGUAUAAUAUAGAGGAUGAAAUUUAGACAAUCUGCUGAAGAUGAAAGAUAUAUACAGAAGGAAUCAUUUGGUGGUGGCUGUGUGGUGCUGUUAUGAAUCGGCUGCACCUACCAACCCGUUUCUGGCGAGUAGACUGUAAUCGUGUUAAUUUUCCUCCACGAGCUACUCUUUUGUUCUGGGGGUUGAUACAU